rnacentral:rRNA from 1 species
UAUGGAGAGUUUGAUCCUGGCUCAGGAUGAACGCUAGCGGUGUGCCUAAUGCAUGCAAGUCGAACGGGA